GUGGGGGGCAACUUAAGGGUCCAGCUAUAGACACAGUCCUUGCAUUAAUGUAAUAUUUUCUUCAAAUUGGACAAGUGAUUGACCAAAUGCACAGUUUCAAAGGCUUUGAAAUAUUUCAUAUUAUUGGGCCUUUGCUUAGCAACACAAUCAGUGUGAUAUGUUUUUGUUCUAUAAAAAACAAGUAAUGGCAACAAACCAUUCGUUCCUCAAUCCAUCGUCAGCGGCAUCACUCCUUCAACCUACACAGUAACUUGAACAUGAUCGAAGGAAUGUGCAGCUUCAGCCUAUCCUUGGGAAAUAAACCUAAAUUGAAAGAGCAUAUGCAAUAAUGUGUUGGUCAUGCUGAGGAGAUUAAAAAGCUUGCUAAAGUUCACACUCAGGAAGUCACUGAUAACUUGAUUUUGAAGUUGAUAGAGGACUUAAUAAUAUGAUAAUAUCAUUAGAGUGAAAAAUCUAGCUGCGUCCUUCUCUCAUAAUAUGAUGAUAUUUGCCCUUCUCUGGACUAUGUCCACUUUGCAGCAUCUCUGUCUUCAAGUCAUUAAUUUUUCAAGUUUCAUGGUCCUCGCCCUGUCAGACGGAAUCGAGUUAAAGCGUAUUUAUAUAGUUUACCAUUGCUACGAAGGAAAAGAGUAUGAAAAGAUUUGGCUUCAUUUAUCAAGUAUAAAAGAUAUAUGAGUAAAUAUUCGUUGAAUCCAUUAUUGCAUGAUCCCCGUAGGAUCUACCUUUGAUGACUUAAGAGUGUUGACCACAUG